GGUAGAAUGGCUGAGGUAUUUAGGUAAUAAACUGUAAAUUUAUUUAGGAGAAUUUUUUCUCUUCUACCA
rnacentral:tRNA from 1 species